UACGGCCAUAUGCCGUUGAAACAUUGGUUCUAGUACGAUCACCAAAGUUAAGCAACCUCGAGCCUGGUCAGUACCUAGAUGGGUGACCGUUUGAAAACACUAGAUGCUGCAAG